rnacentral:rRNA from 1 species
AGCAGCCGCGGUAAUUCCAGCUCCAAUAGCGUAUAUUAAAGUUGUUGCAGUUAAAAAGCUCGUAGUUGAAUUUCGGGGUCAGUAGGUUGGUCAUGCCUCCGGUAUGUACUGGUCUCACUGAUUCCUCCUUCCUGAUGAGCCGUAAUGCCAUUAAUUUGGUGUUGCGGGGAAUCUGGACUGUUACUUUGAAAAAAUUAGAGUGUUUAAAGCAAGCUAACGCUUGAAUACAUUAGCAUGGAAUAAUGGAAUAGGACGUUCGAUCCUAUUUUGUUGGUUUCUAGGAUUGACGUAAUGAUUAAUAGGGAUAGUUGGGGGCAUUAGUAUUCAAUUGUCAGAGGUGAAAUUCUUGGAUUUAUUGAAGACUAACUACUGCGAAAGCAUUUGCCAAGGAUGUUUUCAUUAAUCAAGAACGAAAGUUAGGGGGUCGAAGACGAUCAGAUACCGUCGUAGUCUUAACCAUAAACUAUGCCGACUAGGGAUCGGAUGAUGUUAAUUUUUAAUGACUCAUUCGGCGCCUUAA